AUUGAACGCUGGCGGCAGGCCUAACACAUGCAAGUCGAACGCGUGGCGCACGGGUGUGUAAUGUCUGGGACACUGCCCGCUGGCGGGGGAUAACUCCUGUAAACGGUAGCUAAUACCGCAUACCAUCAGAUGUGCCCCGAUGGGAUUAGCUAGUUGGUGGGGUAACGGCUCACCAAGGCGACGAUCCCUAGCUGGGCUGAGAGGAUGACCAGCCACACUGGAACUGAGACACGGUCCAGACUCCUACGGGAGGCAGCAGUGGGGAAUAUUGCACAAUGGGCGCAAGCCUGAUGCAGCCAUGCCGCGUGUAUGAAGAAGGCCUUCGGGUUGUAAAGUACUUUCAGCGGGGAGGCGUUACCCGCAGAAGAAGCACCGGCUAACUCCGUGCCAGCAGCCGCGGUAAUAC
rnacentral:rRNA from 1 species